CACAGUGUAGCUUAAUUUAAAGCCUCUGGCCUACACCCAGAAGAUUCCAUAAAUGGACACUUUGA
rnacentral:tRNA from 1 species